rnacentral:lncRNA from 1 species
CUGAUUACGUCAGUCACUCCCAGCAACGCCCUUCAAACAAGGAAUAGGGUUCCGUCGCUAUAUGCCGGACCCCCGGAAAGACUUCCACGGUGCGGAGCACGUGUCUACGUCAAGAGCUCAAGUUAACACUCGGGAGUCGCCGAUUGGGACUACCAAGUCGCCGACUCCAGGGGGGAAUCGCCAACUCUACGCCUCGUGGACAGC